CAGAGUAGAAGAUGUCUACUGCGCCGCCUACCCCACCUGCUGCCACGACGACCAUCCUUUAUGGCUCCCUCGCCGACUUUGUUUGGCGGCAAGAGGACUUCCAGGACCGCCAUUUCCCAGGAGUCGUAUUUGUCAAAUGCACCUCUUGUUUGACAAUAGAUACAGGGGCACCUACGGGACCGGCUUAUAUGAUCUUCGUUGCCCUUUAUGCUCGGGUGGAUGGACGGCUGGUGGGACCCUUGACGCUUUAUGAUGAUGGACCGGGGCAGGGUGGUAGUCCUGCGGAGUAGGAGGUGCAGAGAGGUGUUGGACGUGUGGGAGGACUUUUUGUUUUUGGUUGUUUAACAACAUGUAUAUAAUCAAUGAGAGGCGGGAUAGUUAGUGUUCGUGGUUUAUAGUGUUUUUUUUGUAGAAAUUCCCCUCUCAAUUUUGUCUUCCCCACGUGUAAAGAAACCAAGUUUAUGAUAAUAG
rnacentral:lncRNA from 1 species